CUCGAGGCUACUAAUCUAUCCGUUAUGAACCAUCUCCCUAUAUCAGUUUCCUCUUCUUCUUCAUCAAUUAUCAGUACCGUUUAGUAUUUAUUUAUCUUCCCUGUCUAUACUAUAUCUCACUCUCUUCCUCUGCAAUCUGUUUCUACAAACCCUAUAUUCGAUUUUCAUGGGAGAAUCUAUUCCUGCUCGUCGCAUAUCCGUUCAUCAAGCUCUUGGCGGCGGCGCAGUUGCUGAUUUGCUGUUAUGGAAGAUAUGGAGUGGAAAUGUUACGAUUCUAGGGAUGGCGACUACCAUGUGGAUGCUGUUUGAGCUAGCUGGCUAUAAUCUCUUGUCUUUUGUAGCCAAUGUGUUGCUCCUUCUCGUUGUUAUUCUCUUCUUCUGGGCCAAAUCUGCUUCGCUUCUCAACAGGCCUCUGCCUCCCCUGCCCGACCUGGAAAUUUCUGAGGAGACUAUUGUCAAGGCUGCUGGUGUGCUUCAAGUGUAUGCCAAUCAUGCACUGUCAAUUGCACGUGAGAUUACAAUGGGCAGAAAUUUGAAAUUAUUCCUUCAGGUCACUGUUGGUUUCUGGAUAGCGUCAUAUAUUGGUAGUUUCUGCAAUCUCCUCACUCUUAUCUAUAUUGGGGUUCUCCUUAGUCUUUCAGUUCCUGUACUUUAUGAUAAAUGCCAGCACCACAUUGAAGAAAAGUUGUCUGUAACACACAGAAUGAUUCAAACACAGUAUAGGAAAAUUGAUGAUAGCCUUUUAAAGAAGAUUCCACUACCAUCAAGAGGGGAAAAGAAGAUCCAAUAGUUGUGAACCUUCUGUACUGUUGGUUGGACCUUUAUAUCAUCACUGUCCCAAAAGAAUAUUGUUAUGGAUAUGCAUUAUCCUUCUAUUUGAUAAAUUAUGAUCAAAGUGAUUGUAACAAAUAAGAUGAGUAUCUUAGCUUAUUAUCUCUAAUUUGAUUUUUUAGUUGCUAUCUAUAGUUUAAUUUUUAAAUUUUAAAUUUAAAUAGAAGAUACGAAGUAUUUUGAAUUCAAAUGUUGAUGCAAUCUGAAUGUAGUCUUCACUAUAAAAAGACACUUGAGAUCAUUGAAUAAGACAUUCGAAAAAUAUUAUUCAUCACUUGAGAUCCGAGAAUUCUCUCAAAUGAGUUCUUAAUUUAUUUUACAAUAAAUUCCUCAAAGAAAAGCAAAAAUAUUAAUAAGGGAAAAUCAGUCUAGAGAGAGAAGGAUUUUCCAGUUAAUAGACAGGGCCCAUAACAACUUGGUACUAGAGCCGGUCAUUAUGGGCGAUUUAGUAAUUUUGGAAGAGAAGUUAAACCCUUUCAUGCAACAAACACAAACUGAUGCUUGAUUCAACGACUUUGCUCAUCAAGUUUCAGAGCUCAUUCAUGAUCAUUUUGAAAGGUACAUAGUGUCUAGAUAUACGAAACUUGAUUUUUCCUCAUUUGAUGGAUGGCUUAAUCGAUGUGAACAAUUUUUUCAAAAUCAAUGAAAGCAGAUAAAGUCAGUAUACCAUUUUACUUGAAUAGGUUUUACUUGAAUAGGAAGAACCUGGAAUGACAUGUGGCAAGUGUUUACUUGAAUAGGAAGAACCUGGAAUGACAUGUGGCAAGUGUUCAAAGAUAAUUGCAACUUGUGAUUUGGUCCUCUUUUGUGUAGCAAUCUCUUCGGGGAAUUGGUGAAUUUGAAGCAAGUUGGAUCAGUAGAAGAUUAUAAGCGUCAAUUUCAAUCCUUAGUAGCAAGAGCGACAACGGUUCAAACCAACCAACUUUUUUACUGUAGGAUUGUCUGAGACUAUUCGACUUGAGGGUUCCAAGUAGUUCAGCAAAGUGUGACUAGGGAUGUGGAGAUUGGUUGUCAACGUAGGAUGUUGUUCAGGUUCCACUCUACUCAGAUUCUCAGAAGUAUCAAAUAUCAGUUACAGUAUGAUUUAGGUGCAGGAACUGACCUAACUAGUUAAUACGAGUGGGAGAAUAUUCAAUUUUCAUUGUUUUUUCUGGGUUGCCUUUGUUGUGAUUAGUCUUCUGUCAAAGAGUUUUUUUGGUCCCCUUCAGGAAAAGAAAAGAAAAAAGACGAUAACAUAUGACAUUUGUCCCUAAUGUUGAUGUUGCUUACUGCUUGCUGUAAAACAUAAUGAUAUUUAUCGGAAUGAAAGCAUUGUGUACAAAGCUGAGAGAGAUUAAACUAUUGUGAUUUUUGU